GGAAUAUUGCGCAAUGGGCGAAAGCCUGACGCAGCGACGCCGCGUGAGGGAUGAAGGUCUUCGGAUUGUAAACCUCUUUCAGCAGGGACGAAGCGAAAGUGACGGUACCUGAAGAAGAAGCACCGGCUAACUACGUGCCAGCAGCCGCGGUAAUACGUAGGGUGCAAGCGUUGUCCGGGUUUAUUGGGCGUAAAGAGCUCGUAGGCGGUUAGACACGUCGGAUGUGAAAACUGGGGGCUCAACCCCCAGCCUGCAUUCGAUACGGUCUGACUAGAGUGUGGUAGGGGUAACUGGAAUUCCUGGUGUAGCGGUGAAAUGCGCAGAUAUCAGGAGGAACACCGAUGGCGAAGGCAGGUUACUGGGCCACCACUGACGCUGAGGAGCGAAAGCGUGGGGAGCAAACAGGAUUAGAUACCCUGGUAGUCCACGCCGUAAACGGUGGGCACUAGUUGUGGGAACCUUCCACGGUUUCUGCGACGCAGCUAACGCAUUAAGUGCCCCGCCUGGGGAGUACGAUCGCAAGAUUAAAACUCAAAGGAAUUGACGG
rnacentral:rRNA from 1 species